rnacentral:rRNA from 1 species
UACGUAUGGGGCAAGCGUUAUCCGGAUUUACUGGGUGUAAAGGGAGCGUAGGCGGUACGGCAAGUCAGAAGUGAAAGCCUGGGGCUCAACCCCGGAAUUGCUUUUGAAACUGUCGAACUAGAGUGUCGGAGGGGUAAGCGGAAUUCCUUGUGUAGCGGUGAAAUGCGUAGAUAUUAGGAGGAACACCGGUGGCGAAGGCGGCUUACUGGACGACCACUGACGCUGAGGCUCGAAAGCGUGGGGAGCAAACAGG